rnacentral:rRNA from 1 species
UAAAGAUUCAUCGGCUGCGGAUGGCCAUGCGGCGCAUUAGCUAGUCGGCGGGGUAACGGCCCACCGAGGCGACGAUGCGUAGGGGUUCUGAGAGGAAGGUCCCCCACACUGGUACUGAGACACGGACCAGACUCCUACGGGAGGCAGCAGUGAGGAAUAUUGGUCAAUGGCCGGGAGGCUGAACCAGCCAAGUCGCGUGAGGGAAGACGGCCCUACGGGUUGUAAACCUCUUUUGUCAGGGAGCAAGAGGCGGGUCGAGACCUGCUGUGAGAGUACCUGAAGAAAAAGCAUCGGCUAACUCCGUGCCAGCAGCCGCGGUAAUACGGAGGAUGCGAGCGUUAUCCGGAUUUAUUGGGUUUAAAGGGUGCGCAGGCGGAGGCACAAGUCAGCGGUAAAAUCGCGGGGCUCAACCCCGCUCCGCCGUUGAAACUGUGUCCCUUGAGUGCGCGAAGGGUAGGCAGAAUGCGUGGUGUAGCGGUGAAAUGCAUAGAUAUCACGCAGAACUCCGAUCGCGAAGGCAGCCUACCGGCGCGCAACUGACGCUCAUGCACGAAAGCGUGGGUAUCGAACAGGAUUAGAUACCCUGGUAGUCCACGCAGUAAACGAUGAAUGCUAUCUGUCCGGCCGGAAUGACGGCUGG